rnacentral:rRNA from 1 species
GAUGAACGCUGGCGGCGUGCCUAAUACAUGCAAGUCGAGCGAACGGACGAGAAGCUUGCUUCUCUGAUGUUAGCGGCGGACGGGUGAGUAACACGUGGAUAACCUACCUAUAAGACUGGGAUAACUUCGGGAAACCGUAGCUAAUACCGGAUAAUAUUUUGAACCGCAUGGUUCAAAAGUGAAAGACGGUCUUGCUGUCACUUAUAGAUGGAUCCGCGCUGCAUUAGCUAGUUGGUAAGGUAACGGCUUACCAAGGCAACGAUGCAUAGCCGACCUGAGAGGCUGGUCGGCCACACUGGAACUGAGACACGGACCAGACUCCUACGAGAGGCAGCAGUAGGGAAUCUUCCGCAAUGGGCGAAAGCCUGACGGAGCAACGCCGCGUGAGUUAUGAAGAUCUUCGGAGCGUAAAACUCUGUUAUUAGGGAAGAACAUAUGUGUAAGUAACUGUGCACAGCUUGACGGUACCUAAUCAGAAAGCCACGGCUAACUACGUG